UAUGUUGCCAUCUUCAUCCGCGAGUUGGCUCCCAAAUCUAAAAGGCGCGUCUGACGAAACAGGAGUGUAACAGGGCACGGCUGCUGAACCAGGACAACCACAUAUGAGUUUUUGAUUUCUUAUUUGUUCGUCAGACCUGGUCACAAAUAAUGAGUUUGAGACAAACCUUGUGUCAUGUGUUAUCGCACUCAGAUAUUGGAGCCUUGGAGAAUGUAAAAGAAAUGUUAAACGAAUGUGAGAGCUUAUACCCGCAUAAAACAAUUUUUUCUUGGGCGUCGAUGAGCACAGGAGCUCGGAGGAGGCCACCAUGGAGCUGACGUGACCUCGGCAAACAAAACAUGUAAAGAAUGAGAACGAUGAGGCGAGCCAAUACUACAGAGGAGCUGGACCAUAGGGAGGUCUUAAUUUUAAGUAGCAAUCUUGGUUGCUAGCAUAUGUAAGAUUUGAAGUAUCUAUCCACCUUUAAAAUAGUAGUGUCUAAAUACUAAAUAAUGAUUAUAGUGAUUUAUGACAAUCAGGUACCGUUUGGUUUAGCAUAUAAGUGUCUAGAUACUAAAUAUAAGUAUCUAUCCACACUUUGGUUUAGCAAUCAGGUACCGUUUGUUGCAAAGGAACUAUAUUUAUGAGGGACUUCCUGAUGAUUUAGUGAUUUAUGAUUCCUACAAGUAUAUAGGAAUAUUUCAGCUCCAUCAUAGGAAAAAUAAUCUGAAAUAGAGUUUCGGUUUGGCUA